GGAGGCUGCAGAGAGUGUGGGUGCUACAGAUGCACCAGAGGGGUUAACUUGGGAGGGCGGAGGGGAGGACAGGCUCACCCCACAGCCCCAACAGGCUCACCACCCCACAGCCCCAAUUGGCUGUUUCAUAACCAGGACUCAAGGACAGGGUCCUGGGUCAGCAGCACCAAUGUAACAAAGCAAGGAGCUCACAUCCCUGAGUGGCACAAAGCACCCUUUGUAUGGAGUCCCAGGGUGCACUAGGGCCAGUGUGCCUGAGACGAAAGGACAUUGUUGUUUGUAACACAGACACAUUGUUCCCCAGGGAACAAGGCCAUGCUGUCAGGAGCUCACAGAAGAGCAGGCAGAGGAGAAGGGAAGGCCCGUGGGAACUUGAGUUCAAGUGGGACAUAAAGAAGUCCAUCAACCUAGUGUCGACAGAGCCACAUCUUCCUACCAUCUGCCUUGCUGUGUCUUGGGAUCAAGAAAUGUGGCUGGCCACCAUCAGAGUCCCACACUAACGUGGCCCACAUCCGUUACCAUGGCCUCUUUCCCUAAAGUCCAGGACCGAGCUGGCAGAGUGGGAUCUCUACUCUGUGUGCUUCCUGGCCCCUCUACAUCAAUAAAGCAUCCCCCAUGUCUUAA